ACUCUCUCUCUCUCUCUCUUUCUGCACUAGAUAUUUUACUUGGGAAAGAUAUGAUGGAUCUGACUGUACACCAUAUCAUAAACUUGUUACAUGGCAAACAUGCUAACUAUAAAUUAGCACCGAAAGAGAAGAAGAUACAAGCAACCUGGUGAGGUGAGGAGCUCAGUUAGGGAAUGGAGUCCGGCAGCAGCAAGCGUAGCGGGUUAUUCUAUAGAAGAGGAUCAAAGUACUCGGGGAAAUAUGCUAGUAACACUAUCCCUGCUCCUCCUCCUCCUCCUCCUCUGGCUCCCUUGGGCAGAAAGGAAGGGAUGAUCGGCGGCCGCGGUGGCUACGAUACGACAGUCAACGGCGCCAUCGACAGUAGUGAGGUAGAUCGGCGAGCCGCGAGCUUUAUCGCCUACGUUCAAGAGCGACUCAAGCUGGAGAGGAUCGAGGAGGACUGGAGGAACUACUAGUAGGUGUGACAAACAAGGUUUCUUGUACCUGGGUGUAGUUUCUUCCAUGUAGCUCCUUCGGAGUGUCUGCCUAUAGUUUGUGCUGCAGUACGAGUACAGUAAAAUUUCAUUUGGCCUUGACAACUUGUCUAUUCGAAGACGAUCAUCGUAAAAGAAAGGACUCAAAUAUGAUCUCCGUCAAAAGCAUGGUGGCGUCUACUAUUAGUGUAAACAACCUUAAGCCGUGGCAUCGGGGCCGACGCGAUUGGGUUCGGGCCCGAAUGAUUGGGGAUCUCCCUGGGACGACCCUUAAGAUUGCUGAGGUGGCCGCCUGCGAUGGUUCGAUCGUGACGGGGUCACCGUUUCCUCUGGGAGGGGGCUCCUCACCUGAGCGUUCUGUGGGAGGCAUCCGUCUUCGCACCUGCACACAGGUCGGGUUGGGAGAGCUCGACCCGACCCCUUCGACGAUCAAGCCAGUGGAUGAUCUUGGGGGGGACAGGCUCGUACUCCUGGUAGCGUCUGACAUCGGUGGCGUGGCGUGAAAGAUCGAGCUCGAGCAGGGUGUUAAUGUGCCUUGAUCGACGUUCCGAUCUGUGUUGACCAAGUGCUAACAGGUCAACAGAGACGUGAGGUGUCAUUUGGGGCAGCUGCACGAUACUCAAUAAGUGGGAGGCAAAGAACAUGCUCGGUAUACAUAAUUCGCUACCGCACUUCGUAUAGAAUGGCUAUGCUCAAAACGCCAAAUAAACAGAAUAUUUUGUACCAUCAAUCUUUCAUCUAAUUGUAAGCCACAGCUACUCCAAGUUGUUGCGAAACAAAAAAAGUCAACUUGACAAAGAGGGCAAUUCUGAACCAAUUGCUUGCCAA